GAUGAAGAACGUAGCGAAAUGCGAUAAGUAAUGUGAAUUGCAGAAUUCAGUGAAUCAUCGAAUCUUUGAACGCACAUUGCGCCCGCCAGUAUUCUGGCGGGCAUGCCUGUUCGAGCGUCAUUACAACCCUCAGGCCCCCGGGCCUGGCGUUGGGGAUCGGCGGAGCCCCCCGUGGGCACACGCCGUCCCCCAAAUGCAGUGGCGGUCCCGCCGCAGCUUCCAUCGCGUAGUAGCUAACACCUCGCGACUGGAGAGCGGCGCGGCCACGCCGUAAAACACCCAACUCUUCUGAAGUUGACCUCGAAUCAGGUAGGAAUACCCGCUGAACUUUAGCAUAUCAAUAAGCGGAGGA
rnacentral:misc_RNA from 1 species